rnacentral:rRNA from 1 species
AGUGAACGCUGGCGGUAGGCCUAACACAUGCAAGUCGAACGGCAGCACAGUAAGAGCUUGCUCUUACGGGUGGCGAGUGGCGGACGGGUGAGGAAUACAUCGGAAUCUACUUUUUCGUGGGGGAUAACGUAGGGAAACUUACGCUAAUACCGCAUACUACCUACGGGUGAAAGCAGGGGAUCUUCGCACCUUGCGCGAUUGAAUGAGCCGAUGUCGGAUUAGCUAGUUGGCGGGGUAAGGGCCCACCAAGGCGACGAUCCGUAGCUGGUCUGAGAGGAUGAUCAGCCACACUGGAACUGAGACACGGUCCAGACUCCUACGGGAGGCAGCAGUGGGGAAUAUUGGACAAUGGGCGAAAGCCUGAUCCAGCCAUACCGCGUGGGUGAAGAAGGCCUUCGGGUUGUAAAGCCCUUUUGUUGGGAAAGAAAAGCAGCAGGUUAAUACCCCGCUGUUCUGACGGUACCCAAAGAAUAAGCACCGGCUAACUUCGUG